rnacentral:rRNA from 1 species
UCGUGAGAUGUGGGUUAAGCCCCGCAACGAGCGCAACCCUUGCCUUUAGUUGCCAGCAGUUCGGCUGGGCACUCUAAAGGGACUGCCGGUGUUAAACCGGAGGAAGGUGGGGAUGACGUCAAGUCCUCAUGGCCUUUAUGACCAGGGCUACAUACGUACUACAAUGGCCGAUACAAAGGGCAGCGACACUGCGAGGUGAAGCCAAUCCCGUAAAAUCGGUCUCAGUCCGGAUUGGAGUCUGCAACUCGACUCCAUGAAGUUGGAAUCGCUAGUAAUCGUGGAUCAGCAUGCCACGGUGAAUACGUUCCCGGGCCUU